UCUCCCAAGAUGUGCCCUAGAGUCUAUGGU
rnacentral:piRNA from 1 species